UGCAGUAUAGAAUGUAAACAUCUGAAUUGCACUGAAGCUGGAUGUUUGUGGUUUGCUGAUACACGGAGGGCCACACAGGUCAAUCAUCCACAAAAGUUUGUUUAUUUCUCCUUAGGUUGCCAAAUGGGUGAGAGAGGAGCUGAGCCCUGAAGGGACACGGCAUUAUUUUGAUGUGUGGCACAUUGCCAAAAGCUCAUUGGCAGCAGUAAAGUUGGAGAACAUAAUCACGAGGACUGCCUUACUGAAAGAUGUUCGACAGCUGUCUCCACAGCAUCAGACAUUCUCCCUUGAGGCUUACCACUCCCUCAUCUUGCACUUCGCACCCAAGCACACAGGGUUUUCAUACGUUGGGAUGUAUAGCAGGCUUCUCUUAGCGGCGCUGCAUUACAAUCACAAUGCCAACCGCGAGACAGCACGGAAAAGUGAUGGGACGGAGAAGUACUGUGUGCGGU